UUAUUAUCGUACAAAUAAAAAAAGAAAAACGGAUAGCGGCGUUGAUAAUUUUUUCUCGAAUCCAUCUUUCACGAUGCCACGAUUCCUCUCAUCCGAAGCGAAAAGAGGCGAAUAAAGUCGAAGUCUGCUCGUGAUCGAAAAGAUGCAGCUUUUUCCUCCGAGGCGGAAAAUUUAUUGUUUCAAGAGGGACGGGUGUAUCUUUAAGACCCGAUGAAGUUCUUUGCGAAAGGAAGAGGGAUAUUUUCAAUUUUUUUUUCCCCCUCCUCCUCCGAGGUAUUUUCCCUUUUUCCAACGAUUUCGUUGAACGAGAGAGAAUCCUGAACUUUCCGCGCUUCCGCGGAAUUAUUUUGACUUCGAUGUCUCGUUGACUGCUCUCUGUCCGAUAGAAAAGUUUCUCUCCAUCAGGAGAAAGCUUUUCCUCCCAGCCUCGCGUCGUGUCGCGGAUUACAAUGCGUCACAUUUUUUUCUUUUUUUUGUUCGUUCUCCUUCCUUCGUUUCGCCUUUCUCAUCAUCUUGAUUCGUGCAGUUUUCAAGCGCAAGCGAUCGCAAUAUUUGUACGAAAUAUAAGCACGUCGAACGAAUAGUUGACAGAGAGAGAGAAUAAAAAGUCUAUUCCACGUUUUUUUCGUUCAACGCGUCUUUUCUCGCUAUUCGUUGGUUUAUAUUCGUUCGCGAAGUAAUUUCGGUGGCCGUGGCACGUCCGCUCUCUUUUGCAAAUAUUGAUCGUGAAAAAAUAGGAGUCUGUGUCUCCGAUACGAAGACAGCUUCAACAGGGCGUGUGGAAUCGAAUUUCUCAUCUGGGAAUCUGGGUCGAGGAAUAUAUCGUUGUGUUACCGUAGAAUGUCGGUGAUUAUUCGAUACAAAUUCAACUUACUCUCUAGCACGGUUAGGAAGGGGAAAAAAGAAAA